AAUAGAUACCCUGGUAGUCCACGCCGUAAACGAUGAGUGCUAAGUGUUAGAGGGUUUCCGCCCUUUAGUGCUGCAGCUAACGCAUUAAGCACUCCGCCUGGGGAGUACGGCCGCAAGGCUGAAACUCAAAGGAAUUGACGGGGGCCCGCACGAGCGGUGGAGCAUGUGGUUUAAUUCGAAGCAACGCGAAGAACCUUACCAGGUCUUGACAUCCUCUGCCAACCCUAGAGAUAGGGCGUUCCCCUUCGGGGGACAGAGUGACAGGUGGUGCAUGGUUGUCGUCAGCUCGUGUCGUGAGAUGUUGGGUUAAGUCUCGCAACGAGCGCAACCCUUGAUCUUAGUUGCCAGCAUUCAGUUGGGCACUCUAAGGUGACUGCCGGUGACAAACCGGAGGAAGGUGGGGAUGACGUCAAAUCAUCAUGCCCCUUAUGACCUGGGCUACACACGUGCUACAAUGGAUGGUACAAAGAGCUGCGAACCCGCGAGGGUAAGCGAAUCUCAUAAAGCCAUUCUCAGUUCGGAUUGGU
rnacentral:rRNA from 1 species